rnacentral:lncRNA from 1 species
CCCCAAGCAAAGUCCCCCUGAGAGGAAAAAAUCACACCACAUCUUUGUGGAUCAGUGGUGCCUCUGCCUCCACCCAAGACACCGGGCAUGUUUCCUCAUGAAUAGUGACUUGUGGCUCCUUCGCAGCACUGAGGGCUGGAGCCAGAAGAAGGAUGAACUCACUGCGGGGGUCUUCUCUCUUCAUGUUGGAAAACAGAUUUAGGCUCAAAAUGAAGGAGGGUUUUUGCACAGUCAGCACCACCCAUUGAUGAGUUCGUGGUCCCAGGAGGUAAUGAGUGCUCCAUCAUUGGGAGCAUUCAAGCUGAGGUUAGCCCACUAUUGGGAGGGAUAUUAUAGACAGGACUCAGGUAAGGGGACAGAGCAUUGACCUAGAUGAAAUUUGAGGUCCCCCUUCCAACCCUGAGAGCCUCUAAAUCUCUGACAUCUCCAUCCCAGCCCUUGCUGCCAAUUGGCCUCAUUCGCCUGGCCCUGCUGGUUUGCCAGGCAGUUUGUCCUCAGGGAGAAGUAGCUGCCAAUUAUGUGGGGACCACAAGAGUUUCCUUUAUGAUAUCACCACUCUGCAGGAAGGGGCUGAGGUGGGGUAAGAGAGGAGAAACAAGACAGAAGGUGGCACCAGAGAAGGAGUCAGCUCCCCAGGGCCUGGAAUCUGCAGUGUUGCCACCACUAGGUCCCAUGAUGAAGACCAGAGCAUGCAAACUCCUGGAGCCUGCGGCCAGUGCACAGCAGGAGGACGACACAGGACAUUGGGGCAUUUUGGGGGAUCGUGUGCAUGGUGACAACUGCAGGACUGUGAACUGUAUCCCUGCUCUUCCUCUAACUUGAACCCUCUCUGUGAUAACAUAGAACCUCAAAAACCCAUUCCUUGUGCAUUAGUCAAUAUCACACUAUGGACUUCCUGUUCCAGGUUGGUAAUAUUCCCUUUUCACAGAUGAGACAAUUGAGGCUCAGAGAGGUUGGUAAUCUGCCUGAAUUCACACAGAUAUUAAGGAGCGAGCCAAGAUGGGAACCUAGAUGUAUCUAUCUGCAAAGCCUUUGCUCUUAACCAUCAGCGCUCUUACUGAGAAGGGGAGGUCAUCGCCUCUCCCCAAGCUGACUUACAGGACUGGAAUCACAGGGCAGUGAACACCCAAAGCCUGAACGACUCCAACAAAC